ACACCAAAAAACCAACAAAAUUACAAAACAUUUAAAACAAACUAAUACAUAAUAGUCCAACAAGGGUCUAAUCCAUCUCAAAUAAACAAACCCAACAACUUAAACAAAUGAAGGGUCCAAUACAACUUAAAAGUAAAAAUCAAACAAACAAAACAAAGUUUGGCCCAAACUCCAAAACACUUCUUCUUCCAAGAAGGGUCCAAUACAACUUAAAAGUAAAAAUCAAACAAACAAAACAAAGUUUGGCCCAAACUCCAAAACACUUCUUCUUCCAAGCCCUGCCAACUUCUUCUUCUUCCCUUCUUCUUCUUCUUCCAAGCUACUGCAACUAUGCAACAUACAAAUACAAAUACAAUGAAUAUUAGCAAAUUCAAAAAUUAAAUUAAUCCAAUAUAAAAAUACAAAAAUGAUAAGACCUCAAUGAUGCAGGCGUGCAACAUAGUAAAUACUUUUCAAUGAACAAAUACUAGUGCAGAUAUAGAUGAGGAUGGAUACAGUUUUUUGAAAUACAAUGAGGGUGGAUAUAGAAGUACUACUACAGAACAGAUACUGGUUCUAUUCCCACCCCUUCUUUAUCCACAGAAUGGUUCUUUUAGACAUUCAAUUUUUUCAAAUAACACAAACUGAUCAAAUGGUGUCUUUAUGCACAGAAUUCAUAGGUAUAUUUUGGCACUUCCACCGCAAAAACUAUGCCACACGCUGAGGACACACUUUCUUUUUAGAUUGUGUCUUUUAGGGAGUGACAUACACCAUAAACAAGAUAUGCGUCAGUUAUAUAUUGAGGAUUGUCAGCACCACAAUAGGAUGCCCUUUUAAGGCUGUAAUAGUUAGUUAACUCAACUAUGAGUCUAUGACAUGCAUGUCUAAGCUAUAUUUAAGUACUGUAUUAAUGAUCUUGGGUUUAGACUUGUGAUCAUAGUGAAAGGUUCUUAUUACUGCUAAACUCCUAAUCAAUCUCUAGUUCUCAAUGUCAAAUUUUAUGAUCUUAGAAUAAAGUUGUUUUAAUGCUUGCUUUGACAAGUCUGCACUCCAUGACACAAGUUAGUUAAGCUUUCCAAAUCAAAAUGGAAAAUGGUUUUAUUUUAUCUGAUCUACUUUGUUGGAAGUAAAUAACCAUUCCCAUCUCCAUUUUAAAUCAAUUCGUUAUGAUGUCAGGAUCAUGGUUUGAUCAAAUCUAAAUGAUUAUGGUCUAAAGUCAAUUUAAAAUACUAUUUUUGAUCUUAACCUUACCAACAGUGUGUAGAUAAACUUUCACAAACAGAUAAAAAAAAAUCAAUUUCUAGACUAAUCAAACCCCAAAUAUAAAAAAAUUCUGCACAAAAAUCACAACUAAAAACAGUAAUCAAAGAAAAAGAAUCCAAUAAAUCAUCACAAGAAGAGUAAUAUUUGAAAUUUUAUUGGUUAAAAUUACAUUAAAUUAUUAAAUUACCUGAUUCAAAGAUGAAGGGUGAAGUCGACGAGUCAACGACAAUUGAAGUGUAGUUCUUUAGUGGUGGUGGUGGACUGGUGGUGGUGGUGAGUGUUGUUCUUUAGUGGUGGUGGUGGUGGGUGUUGUUCUUUAGUGGUGGUGGUGGCGGAGAUCGAAUUUGAGAGAGAAGGAGAUGAGAGAAUACUGAAUAGUCACUGAAACGAAUGAAAUCAAUUAAGCCCUAGUGAAUAUGAUCAAGU
rnacentral:lncRNA from 1 species